GCAGUUCACAGUUCACAAGGCACCUUAUGUCUUAACUAUUCAUCUCAAACGAUUUCAGUCAUACAAUCUUGAAGAAAAGAUCCACAAAAAGAUUCAAUUUGGUCCUACAUUAGAUCUGUCACCUUUUGUCAGUGGUUCCUAUGCUGAUGGAGACUUGAAGUACACUCUUUAUGGGGUUCUGGUCCAUCAUGGUGGUAGCACCCGUAGUGGUCACUAUUAUUGUUAUGUUCGAACAUCCAGUGCAAUGUGGUAUGCCCUUGAUGACAAUCGGGUUUCACAUGUUGGUGACAGGACAGUUUUUGAGCAGCAGGCAUACAUGUUAUUUUAUGUACGGGACCGAAGAACAGUUGUUCCAAAGAAACCUGUUGAUGUUGCUUUGAAAGAGAAUAUAAAAGCAUCUACCAAUUUAAACAGAACUGGUUCUGUUGUCAACCGAGGUUUGAAGGACAACCGUGUACAAAAUUAUUCAUU
rnacentral:misc_RNA from 1 species